UACAGAGGCCCCAAGCGUUACUGAGAAUCACUGGGUUUAAAGGGUGCGUAGGUGGUCCGUUAAGUUCGUUGUGAAAUCCCCGGGCUCAACCCAGGAAAUGCUUCGAAUACUGGCGGACUUGAGGCUAGUAGGGGUCACUGGAACUGACGGUGGAGCGGUGAAAUGCGUAGAUAUCGUCAGGAACGCCAAUGGUGAAGACAGGUGACUGGGCUAGUUCUGACACUGAGGCACGAAAGCGUGGGGAUCAAACGGG
rnacentral:rRNA from 1 species